rnacentral:rRNA from 1 species
AUUGAACGCUGGCGGAAUGCUUUACACAUGCAAGUCGAACGGCAGCACGGGGGCAACCCUGGUGGCGAGUGGCGAACGGGUGAGUAAUACAUCGGAACGUGCCCGGUCGUGGGGGAUAACGUAGCGAAAGUUACGCUAAUACCGCAUACGAUCUGAGGAUGAAAGCGGGGGACCUUCGGGCCUCGCGCGAUCGGAGCGGCCGAUGUCAGAUUAGGUAGUUGGUGGGGUAAAGGCCUACCAAGCCGACGAUCUGUAGCUGGUCUGAGAGGACGACCAGCCGCACUGGGACUGAGACACGGCCCAGACUCCUACGGGAGGCAGCAGUGGGGAAUUUUGGACAAUGGGCGCAAGCCUGAUCCAGCCAUUCCGCGUGCAGGACGAAGGCCUUCGGGUUGUAAACUGCUUUUGUAUGGAACGAAAAGGCUCUGGCUAAUACCUGGGGCUCAUGACGGUACCGUAAGAAUAAACACCGGCUAACUACGU